rnacentral:rRNA from 1 species
CGAGUUUGAUCCUAGCUCAGAAUGAACGCUAGAAAUAUACAUUACACAUGCAAAUUUAUGAUUAUAUCAUAGUGAAUAGGUGAGGAUAUAUAAAUUUUUAAUUUUAAAUAGAUUAUAAAAUAUAAUAAUCUAUAAGCGCAUUUAUUAGUAUAAUUGUACUAUAUUAAAAAUAAUUAUUGUUUAAAAUAAAAUUUAUAUUUGAUUAACUAGUUGGUAAAAUAAAAGCUUACCAAGGUUAUGAUCAAAAAUUGGUUUUAAAGAACGUACAAUCACAUUAGGAUUGAAAUAAAGCCUAAAUUUUUUUUUAAAUCAGCAGUGAGGAAUAUUUUACAAUGAGCGUAAGCUUGAUAAAGUAAUAUUUCUUAAAGGAUGACAGUAUAUUUUUAUAUUGUAAACUUUAUAUUUUAUUUUUAAAUAUUGAUAAAAAUAAAACAUUAGUAUUUGCUAAUUUCUGUGCCAGCAGCAGCGGUAAUACAGAAAAUACAAGCGUUAUUCACUUUAUUUGGCGUAAAGCGUUUUAAGGUUUUAUAUUAAUUUUAUUUUUAAAUAUUUAAUUUAAAUUUAAAUAAAAAAUAAAUAAUAAUAUAAUAAGAGUAUUAUAAAAGUAUUAAGAAUUUUUUGAGAAGUAGUGAAAUGCAAUAAUACAAAAAAGAAUACCAAAGGCGAAGGCAUAAUACUAUAUAAUAACUGACACUUAUAAACGAAAGCUAAGGUAGCAAAUAGGAUUAGAUACCCUAGUAGUCUUAGCUGUAAACUAUGAAUAUUUUAUAUUUAUAUUAAUAUAUAAAUAUAAUAACUAACGUAAUAAAUAUUCCGCCUGAGUAGUAUAUUCGCAAGAACGAAAUUCAAAGGAAUUGACGGGAGCUUAUACAAGUGGUGGAACAUGUGGCUUAAUUCGAUGCAACACGAUAAACCUUACCAAAAUUUAACAAUAUUUUUAUUAUUAAGUAAUUAAUAAUUUAAUAAAAUAUAUAGGUAGUGCAUGGCUGUCGUCAGUUCGUGCUGUGAAGUAUUAAUUUAAGUAUUAUAACGAACGUAACCUUUUAUAAAAAAAUUUUUUAUAAUAUAUUUAUUAAAUAUAUAAAAAAGACUACGUCAAGUCAUUAUGCUCCUUAUAUUUUGGGCUGCUCACGUGUUACAUAAAAUAUAACAAUAUUUUAUUAUAUGAAAAUAUAAUAUAUUUAAAUAUAUUUAUAGUUCUGAUUAUAAAUUGAAACUCAUUUAUAUGAGGAUGGAAUCACUAGUAAUCGCUAAUAAGAAAUAUAGCGGUGAAUAAGUUCUUAAGCUUUGUACACACCGCCCGUCACAUCUGGAAAAUAUUAUAUUAUAUAAAAAUUAUUGUAAAAUAAUCAUAUAUAAUUAUGUAAUUUAGAUGAAGUCGUAACAAGGUAGCCGUACUGGAAGGUGCGGCUG